rnacentral:rRNA from 1 species
CCUUCGGGGCACCGAACAGGGGGCAGGCUUGUCGUCAGCUCGCUGUCGAUGAGAUGUUGGGUUAAGUCCCGCAACGAGCGCAACCCCUGUUGCUAGUUGGCAUCAUUAAGUUGGCCACUCUAGCGAGACUGCCGGUGACAAAUCGGAGGAAGGUGGGGACGACGUCAAAUCAUCAUGCCCCUUAUGUCCUGGGCUACACACGUACUACAAUGGCUAUUACAGAGGGAAGCUAAGCCGUAAGGUGGAGCAAAUCCCCAAAAAUAGUCCCAGUUCAGAUUGUGGGCUGCAACUCGCCCACAUGAAGUCGGAAUUGCUAGUAAUGGCAGGUCAGCAUACUGCCGUUGAAUACGUUCCCGGGCCUUG